rnacentral:rRNA from 1 species
UACGUAGGGUGCGAGCGUUGUCCGGAAUUAUUGGGCGUAAAGAGCUUGUGGGCGGUCUGUCGCGUCUGCUGUGAAAAUCCGGGGCUCAACCCCGGACUUGCAGUGGGUACGGGCAGACUAGAGUGUGGUAGGGGAGACUGGAAUUCCUGGUGUAGCGGUGAAAUGCGCAGAUAUCAGGAGGAACACCGAUGGCGAAGGCAGGUCUCUGGGCCACUACUGACGCUGAGAAGCGAAAGCAUGGGGAGCAAACAGG